rnacentral:rRNA from 1 species
UCGAGCGGGCGUAGCAAUACGUCAGCGGCAGACGGGUGAGUAACGCGUGGGAAACGUACCUUUUGGUUCGGAACAACCCAGGGAAACUUGGGCUAAUACCGGAUAAGCCCUUACGGGGAAAGAUUUAUCGCCGAAAGAUCGGCCCGCGUCUGAUUAGCUAGUUGGUGAGGUAAUGGCUCACCAAGGCGACGAUCAGUAGCUGGUCUGAGAGGAUGAUCAGCCACAUUGGGACUGAGACACGGCCCAAACUCCUACGGGAGGCAGCAGUGGGGAAUAUUGGACAAUGGGGGCAACCCUGAUCCAGCCAUGCCGCGUGAGUGAUGAAGGCCCUAGGGUUGUAAAGCUCUUUUGUGCGGGAAGAUAAUGACGGUACCGCAAGAAUAAGCCCCGGCUAACUUCGUGCCAGCAGCCGCGGUAAUACGAAGGGGGCUAGCGUUGCUCGGAAUCACUGGGCGUAAAGGGUGCGUAGGCGGGUCUUUAAGUCAGGGGUGAAAUCCUGGAGCUCAACUCCAGAACUGCCUUUGAUACUGAAGAUCUUGAGUCCGGGAGAGGUGAGUGGAACUGCGAGUGUAGAGGUGAAAUUCGUAGAUUUUCCGAAGAACACCAGUGGCGAAAGGCGGCUCACUGGCCCGGUACUGACGCUGAGGCACGAAAGCGUGGGGAGCAAACAGGAUUAGAUACCCUGGUAGUCCACGCCGUAAACGAUGAAGGCCAGCCGUUAGUGGGUUUACUCACUAGGUGGCGCAGCUAACGCUUUAAGCAUUCCGCCGGGGGAGUACGGUCGCCAAGAUUAAAACUUCAAAGGAAUUGACG